rfam:Pseudobacteroides cellulosolvens ATCC 35603 = DSM 2933 ctg1, whole genome shotgun sequence.
AAUUAAAUAGGUGAUGGAGUUCGCCAUUAACUGCUAUUAUGCUAAUGACUCCUACAUAAUU